rnacentral:tRNA from 1 species
GCCACGGUGGUCUAGCGGUUAGAACGCUGGCCUUGUAAUCCUGGGGUCUCGGGUUCGAGUCCCGGCGGUGCCC